rnacentral:lncRNA from 1 species
GUUAAAUUUACUACUUACUACUAUUUUACACAUUAAAGCCAUCAGCGGACGCCUCUGAAGAGGACCGGCCGUUGACAGUCGAAAGAUCAAAGUAAAUUUCCUGAAAAACUGUUGUCUGAAUGAAUGAAACCAUAACAUAUUAAAGGUAGGAAAUGUUGACCUUUCAACAUGAAAUGUCUCAUUUUCAUUACAUUUUAUAGAAAAUCCAUUUAUAAAUGUGUCAUAUAUCAUAUUAUAUAUAACAUACCACGGAAAAUACACCAGACCUGCAACAUUUAAAACCAUUCGUCACAAUGUUUCAGUCAAAAUAAACAUUAAAAGAUGGUUCAUUUGAUACUAAAACUUUAUCAGCAGUAUUUAACUUAACCAAGUACAAAAUACAUCUCUCAAAUGUAUUUAUCUUUGUGAGUUUCAAACAUGGAAAGGUAAUCAGACUUUAGAACCCCUCACAUGGUCCAUGAGGGCUAUCAUUGGUGACCGCUGGUUUAGGGUUAGGGGUUGGGGUAACAAACGACACUUAAUGACAGCAACAUGACACCUUAUUUAUACUAAUGACAAGUGUCAUGUCGUAAUAAUGGCCACGUAAUGUCAGCCUUUAUGUAAAAAACUUUAACUAAAGUGUUACCAAUGUGUUCGCUCUUUUAUUCUGCUUUAAGUUGUAUUAAAUUGCUGUUAAAUCUUAAGUGUAGUGUUGAAAGUGAAAUAUGGAUAUUAACGUCAAUGGUUUGCAUCCCUUUUGUCUACUAUAUUUAGCACGAAACAAGAUGGGUCAGGAGCUAUCACAGCCUCAUUUAGCCAACUACAGUCAGUAUGCUGAUACGCUGCUAACCUCAAACUACUGGGAAGGAUUUCAAGUUGACAGUUCUUUGCAGAGAUUCUCUUCGCUGAACUCGACAGAGGAGCUGAACUAUUACAGAGACCAGGUUUUAUACGGUGAUGACAUCAGCAACAUAGGUAGCACUGUGAGGAAGUUGGACACCGCUCUGGGUGGGCUCACCAUUGUUCCCAAUGCUGUUGGACUGGGAGCUCUGGUCAUUGCCAUGAUCUUGGAUGCAAUUGCGAAGUCUCUCAAUAAGGAAACACUGGGAACCAAUGAAAUGUUAGAGAGAGUGUUUGCCAAAGAAAAUACCAAUGAGAUACGGGAACUAAUGGAGGAGUAUUUGAAGCGUCUGCAGAUCAAUCUGGGGAAUCAAACUCUUCAACUAGCUGAAACUCAGCAGAAAGAGGCGGCCCUUAGCUCCCACCUCACUCGACUAAAGAAUUCCAUGAUGAUGGAUGGACAAAUGCACACACGGUUUCUAAAGCAGUGGGUGAACGGAGCUGCUUUCCACACCUUGAUGUUGAUCCAUCAGGCACGUCUGGAGGGGACGCUGGGAUCCAGAGCCUUAAGAGCCGCAACACUUUACAAUCAGCAGCUCCACCUGCUUCUCGAUGAAUAUAAGAAAUACCUCAAAACUGUCAUUCAUGUUACUCCAGAUGUUCAUCAUGCAAAGUGUGGAAAGGUCAAUGCACCUCUCGAUGGGAGUUAUUGUGGGAUUUUAUUCACGGAACAGUCUAUUCUACCCAGGCCCUGCCUAGCUAUAAGGGAUGACUGGAUACACUGUCAGCAUUAUAUCAAAGUAGAGGGAGUGGUUGAGGCAAUGUUUUGUAAACCUCAGUUUACUUGGGCAAAGACCUAUUUUUCUGACCUACAAGCCAAUAUUCCCACUCUUGUGCAUCAAAAUGGACCCUUCCAACUCUAA